rnacentral:rRNA from 1 species
GAUGAACGCUGGCGGCGUGCCUAAUACAUGCAAGUAGAACGCUGAAGCUUGGUGCUUGCACCGAGCGGAUGAGUUGCGAACGGGUGAGUAACGCGUAGGUAACCUGCCUCUUAGCGGGGGAUAAUUAUUGGAAACGAUAGCUAAUACCGCAUAAAAGUCGAUAUCGCAUGAUAUUGAUUUGAAAGGUGCAAAUGCAUCACUAAGAGAUGGACCUGCGUUGUAUUAGCUAGUUGGUGAGGUAACGGCUCACCAAGGCGACGAUACAUAGCCGACCUGAGAGGGUGAUCGGCCACACUGGGACUGAGACACGGCCCAGACUCCUACGGGAGGCAGCAGUAGGGAAUCUUCGGCAAUGGGGGCAACCCUGACCGAGCAACGCCGCGUGAGUGAAGAAGGUUUUCGGAUCGUAAAGCUCUGUUGUAAGAGAAGAACGAGUGUGAGAGUGGAAAGUUCACACUGUGACGGUAACUUACCAGAAAGGGACGGCUAACUACGUG